GAUGAACGCUAGCGGCAGGCCUAAUACAUGCAAGUCGAACGGUGUCUUCGGACAUAGCGGCGCACGGGUGCGUAACACGUAUGCAACCUACCUUACAUCGGGGGAUAGCUCUCCGAAAGGGAGAUUAAUACCGCAUAAGACAGUAGCAGGGCAUCCAGCAGCCGUUAAAGAUUUAUCGAUGUAAGUAGGGCAUGCGUCCAAUUAGGUAGUAGGUGAGGUAACGGCUCACCAAGGCAAGGAUUGGUAGGGGAAGUGAGAGGUCAAGCCCCCACGCUGGCACUGAGAGACGGGCCAGACUCCUACGGGAGGCAGCAGUAGGGAAUAUUGGGCAAUGGACGCAAGUCUGACCCAGCCAUGCCGCGUGAAGGAUGAAGGCGUUAUGCGUUGUAAACUGCUUUUAUACAGGAAGAAACGACUCUUGCGAGAGGCAUUGACGGUACUGUAUGAAUAAGCACCGGCUAACUCCGUGCCAGCCGCCGCCGUAACAC
rnacentral:rRNA from 1 species